UACGGUGGGAGGCAAGCGUUGUCCGGAUUUAUUGGGCGUAAAGAGCGUGUAGGCGGCCAGACAGGUCUGCUGUGAAAACUCGAGGCUCAACCUCGAGACGCCGGUGGAAACCGUCUGGCUAGAGUCCGGAAGAGGAGAGUGGAAUUCCUGGUGUAGCGGUGAAAUGCGCAGAUAUCAGGAAGAACAGCCCGUGGCUAAGGCGGCUCUCUAGUACGGUACUGACGCUGAGACGCGAAAGCGUGGGAGCGAACAGG
rnacentral:rRNA from 1 species